rnacentral:rRNA from 1 species
UACGGAGGGUGCAAGCGUUAAUCGGAAUUACUGGGCGUAAAGCGCACGCAGGUGGCUGAGUCAGUCGAUUGUGAAAGCCCUGGGCUUAACCUGGGGAAUUGCAGUCGAUACUACUCAGCUAGAGUAUGGGAGAGGGUAGUGGAAUUCCCGGUGUAGCGGUGAAAUGCGUAGAUAUCAGGAGGAACACCGGUGGCGAAGGCGGGUCUCUGGGCAGUAACUGACGCUGAGGAGCGAAAGCGUGGGGGAGCGAACAGG